UACCGAUACAAUAUCGCCCAUUGCUAUUCGGGUUUCUAGUGCAAGAAGGUUUGGAGUAGUAUCUUGUUUGCUUUGAAAUAUUCAAAAUGAAUUAAAUAUCCUCAACGAUUAGCGAAAGACUUCCUUCCGAAAGCAAAACCACCCGCACAGAAAGUAGUAUCGCCUGCGGGGACACUGAACCGGAGAAUGAACUAUUGGUGUGCGCCAGAGUGGCACGGGCCAGAUUUUGGUUUUCCGGAAAUUUACAGCGUUGAACCAAGAAAACGAACGGACACACCUCAAGAUCGAUUGUGUGAUAAGCAACUUUCGAUUGUUAGAGGGAAUAUAAACAGUGUUAUAAACAUUAUCUUUAGUGUUUUGAGUUUUAUUUGUAUUAAAAAACCAAAAUUUUCAAUUUUU